CGAUGUUUUCACUAACAACUCUGCGUUCGGUGCAAACAAAUUGAUUUCUGGUUGAUGGUGUUGGUGGACGUCGAUGGAAGACAACGGCAAGAUGGAGAAUUACCUGAAAAGAGCGGAACCGACAGAGGAAGAGGAGACGGAGUCUCCCAUAACAGAACAAGGCACUUGGUUUGCGUACGAAACGACUGCGAGGAAUUCACGGUGAUGCAUCUGGGAUUCCUUGACUAUGCUCACUAUAUAUUGAUCUCAAAUAAACCUCAUUGUUAUCGUU